GCGAAAGAGUGAGAGAGAAGGAGAUGAAAUGGGGGAGAAAAAAAUAAAUAAAUAAUUAGAUUGCCGUUGAUAAUUAAAUUAACUGGGAAACACUGAUGUUAGUCUUCCGAACUUGGGGGAUACAGAUCAAUAUACCCGCCUCCAAAGCAAUCGUCUUACUUUGUUAUCUGUCAUAACAUUACAUUUUCAUACUGGAAAUAGGAUUUUAACUUGUGACCUGAAUACAUUGACUAUGGACUGGUUUUAGCUCUGUGACUUGAUGGCUAUUGACCCUUACAAGCCUGGUCUAAGCGGUACUUUUUUUUAUCAUCUUUAUUCCUAUCAUCCACAUUAACAUCAUUUAUAUCUUCACUCAGAUCCAGUUUCAGUUCAUUUCAAUUCACUUCACUUGAUCACCAAUUUUAAUUUUGGCCUGACUCAUUGUAAAGAACAGCAAAAUUCAAAUGUAGAUUGAAUAAGAAACUGGCUGCACAGAAUGAAAAGAAAGCUUGAAAAUCACAAGAUGGAGAUGAACGUAUGGAUUGAACUUGAAAGUUGAUCAACUUACCCUGCCAAAUCAUAAGAGCAGUUAUGUUUAACACAAAUAUCAUCAUCAUCAUCAU